rnacentral:rRNA from 1 species
UACAGAGGUAGCAAGCGUUGUUCGGAUUUACUGGGCGUAAAGGGCGCGUAGGCGGCCAGCACAAGUCAGUUGUGAAAUCUCCGAGCUUAACUCGGAACGGUCAACUGAUACUGUGCGGCUAGAGUGCAGAAGGGGCAACUGGAAUUCUUGGUGUAGCGGUGAAAUGCGUAGAUAUCAAGAGGAACACCUGCGGCGAAGGCGGGUUGCUGGGCUGACACUGACGCUGAGGCGCGAAAGCUAGGGGAGCGAACGGG